CCAAUAGGUGGCGCUGGUGCUGGAACUGCUGGCGGGGCUAACAACGCAGCGGCACAAACGGCUCCCACGCAACAGAUAGCGACGUAACACAGCAUGGAGAGGGGUUGCCAGCCGCCUCUCGCACUGCAAACUGCCUCUGAUUACAUGUAAAUGUACUUUCGUCACUUGGCAUACAUGAUUUUGAUUUUGAAGUUUCAGUGGAGUUUUUUUAAGCUAUUUUAAAACACCGUGUAAUAAUUAUUUUAAUGUGACACUAAUUGUACUGUGAAUAUUAGUUGGUGGAAACUUGUCCCAACAUAUCGGCCCGUUUUUAAUAAUGUAGGUCUUUGAAGAUUAAAAAGUUGAUGUUCUGUCGUU